rnacentral:lncRNA from 1 species
GGGGCAGGGUCCCGGAGGAGGCAUGCAGGGGACUCGGGGCCGCCGCGGAGCCCACUCACCCUGGUUGCGGAUGGCGGGCUGGCUCUCCAGGCAGCUGGGCAGGUAGGGAGCGUUGGGGAACAUCCGGGCCUGGCCUGAGGACGCCUGGCCGGGCGGCGGGGGCCCGAAGGGUCCGUAGCGGCAGGCCCCGGCCGUGCCGGUGAACUGGCCGGAGAAGUGCACGGUGAAGGCGCUCAGGCACUGUUCCUCGUGCGCCUCGGCGCCGCCCCCAGCUCGGCUCCUGCUUGAUGAACGAGUGCGGCGGCGGAGGGGCGGCGGCGCGGGCGGCGGCGCGGGGCCGCCCAGGGAGCCGUAGGCCGGGGCGCCCGGGGGCGCGAAGUCCAGCACCGGCGCCCACUGCGCUGCGCCGCUCACUGGCAGCGAGCAACCGCCCCCGCCGGCCAGCGAGGGCACCGCGGGCAGCAGCGCGUUCAGGUCCCGCACGUCCGAGCCCAUGGGUGCCGGGCCGCUGCUCCGGGUUGGGACGCUGUGCGCCGGCGCGGCCGCGCCUGACUCUGCCCCGACGCCGCCCGGGCCUGGGCUCGCAGCGGGGCGCGCACGUGGACGCCGGCGCCUUGGGGAAGCGCGGGACCCGGGCUCGCAGCGCCCCAGCGGCAGGCGGCAAGGGAGUGGGAGGCGGCGGGCUGCAGAGCCCCUGGCGUGGGCGCUGCCUUGAACUCCUUACCCCGGCUGCCUGGCUGCCCCCGGCUUCCCAAAGCUCAAAUAAGAGGGGCUGGCGCCGGGGGAGGAGGAGGAGCCAGCGGGCCCGGAGGCGCCAUUCACACCGCGUCGGCCAGGCCGGCGACGCUCGCGCUCGCUCUCUCGGGGCGCCCUUAGCGGGGGCGGGGGGCGGGACCCCAGGAGCCCCCCCCCCCCCGGCCACCUCCUCGCCAGCUGCCGCGCGCUCCCUCUGCCUCCCCCUCCAGCCAGCGCGCGAGUGGGGGGCCCUGGCCGGUCCCUAGGAAAUGAUUGUUCUCAGAGUUUCGUGAAAAACAAGUGAUCAGAGAAGAGCCUCCCCCCCUGCUACUUUCCCAACAGAGUCAGCUCAUCCCGCAAGUGCCACCCAGGCCAGGCCAGCGGCGCAGCUGUUCUGCGGCCAGCAUUGCACCAGCAGCUGGGAAUGGGUCACACCCUCUCCUGGGAGCGUGGUUCCUGAGGGAUUUACGGGAUCCUGAGUCUCCCUAGGAUCCUCAGCGUGGCCGUUCAGGCACAGCUGGGUCAAAAUCACCACCACCAGGGCUCAGUGACUCAGUGACUUUACCCUGGAAACCUCAGGCUUCUCUUCUUCGAGGCCGUCCUCUCCCGAGCCAGGGAACGAGCUGUGAGAAGGGGCUGCUGCAGUCCCUCCAUGCUGACCGUCUCAGCCCGAGUUCAGCCAGGAGAGGGACAGCCCUCGUCACCGUGUGACAUGUUUACUUCUAGCCGAGGAAAAUACCGCCGCUGCGGCUGCCCUUCCCUGCGCAGGCACUGGCCUGGAGACGGAUAUUUUAUGUCUUCCUUUGAUGAUUUACAAAUAAAUUAGUGCGAUCGAGAAGGUCUGCCAGCAUCUAUGCGUACGGGAAACCCAAGACGGUGAAAAAUGAUCGUGAUUUACCGUAUCCCGAUACUUCCUUCUUAAGAACCAAAUAAAUAUCAUCGGCUAGUUUAUGGAGCUGACAUAUUUAUUGCAGAAUUCCCGCCGGAGGACUUCCCAUUGUCCUGUGUUCUCACACAUUGUUUUCACAAAUUGUGGCUUGAAGGAAGGCAGGGAAAUUCAGGCUGGAGAAGCAAGAUGUUAUCUUUUGGAAAGGAUGCGCCUCUCUAACGGGACAGGAUAAUCCAUUCAGAGGCUGGAAAGCCCAGUCCUCCGGGGGUGUGAUAAAUCCACAGGAUCUGGAAUCUGGGACUGCUUUGGGACCUUGAAGUUAGCUGGGACAACUUAGCCCCGGCCCAGACAAACAGUGUAUCCUUCUCGCCGGAUAAGCGCAGACAGCUGUGCACUCCGGUUUGCCCUGUUUUCCUUACAGGCGAUUGCAUUCACGGAGGCCGAUCUCCUCACGUCCAUCAGCAGUGGGCUAGGCGCCUGAUGCCAACCUGGGCCCGUGCGGCUCUGUGAUUGGAAAUCGGUUUCCAACAGGGACGGGGCUCCUGCUCCUUGCAGGUGGGACCUGUGCAUGGAGAGCGAGGCAGAGCAGGGUCACUCGUGACUACCAGAGGACCAUGCUGUCCUCAGAAGGUCAGAGUAGGACAGCUGGCAUCGCCGGUACAGAACUCACGUCUUGAGUGGGAUCCAAGCAGCUCCUCACCCUCCCCGCUCCUAACGCGCCUGGCACCCUCUGAAGCCACCCAGGUGCCCCUAUCUGUGCAAGCGCCUUUGGCCAGGCUGCAUCGGAAGCCUGCAGCAGUGGCAGCUUUGAGGGACAGGAGAGCAGCUCGCCCCAGCUCUCCUGUUGCUAGUUGCCCGAGUUUCCCCAAGAUCACACCCACACACCCGGCCGGAGCAACCCAGCCAGGCCUGGGGAGGGAGCCGUCUUUCUGGGACAGUGUCCAGUCGUUCCGUCGUUCGUUCCGUCCCAGCCAAGCACCUGCGCGGCCGAGCUGGUUCUCAGGUGUUCACAGACUGACUGUGGCUGCUGUCGGGCCUGUCCUUGGAAAACCCCACGUCCCCCGUUCUCUGUGCUGCUCCUGGAGCUGAAAGCCGCCUCACUGAGUCUGCGGACAGCCUGAUGGGCCCCAGGACCUGCGUGUGCUGUUCCGCCUCCUCGGUCAGCAGCGAGACGCCUGCAGGGGCCGUUCUUCUGGCUUGGGAGGGACUCGAGCCGCUGCCCAAACCUUCACAGCUGCAUUUAGCAGUCGAAGGAAGGUGAUGGGAAGCCACACAGAGCCCCUCAGCACCAAGCUUUGCUGCCUGUUUGGUGCUGGUGGAGUCAACUGCACGGGCCCAAGUGUCACUGAGCUGCAGACAGCUCGGACCUCUCCAGAGAGCCCGCCAGGACGGCAGGCAUGGAAAACAGGGCUUCUCCCACCUGGCUCCCACGGGCCGAGGCGGAGGGUGCCUACCCCAGUGUGUAGCCCCCCUCGGUUUAAUGUUUCUCUGUCCACAAACAAGAAUCGUUUUCUAAACCACUGCCUCAGCUUACUUUAAAAGGUCCCAGGACAAAAGUCCUAGGUGAGCCCAGACCCCAGUCUGAGGUGUGGACUGAGAAAAAUAUUGUACAAUCAAAACAGAACAAGUGCUGGGUGAGAAACAGCAAUGAUCUGACUGAGAAAGUUAGCCAGCGUUGUUAAAGAGACUGUUACAUACGACCUUUUUCUUUCCUGUGUUUUUUGGAGACAGGGUCUCUAUGUAGUUCAAGCUGGCCUUGAACUCACUAUGUAGCCCAGGCUGGACCUAAACUCACAGUGAUCCUCCUGCCUCAGCCUCUCGUGCUGGGGUCACAGAUGGGCACCACCUCACCCGACAAGUGAAGUAUUUUAAAGCAUUGAAUAGAAUCGCUCUCAGGCUGCCCCGCUGGCUCUUCGGUGAGUUUGUCUAACUAGAGCUCCUCCCCUCCUGCUCCUCCUGCUCCUCCUCAGCGGUCGCUUGCUCUGGUGUGUGGCAUCACUGGCCGAGUGCUGUGUGUCCUGCCCUCUCUCCUGCUGCCCCAGCGCCCUGCAGUGGUCCUCACCCCGCCCUCACCCAGCAUGCUGAGGCAGGAGGGCUGCGUCCAGCCACCUGGAAUGCUGCUGGCCCUGGACGAGGGGGCCUCUGAGUCCGGGAGGGAGGACGUGGCAGUAGCUCAGGUCGGGGCUGAAGGGCAGGCACCCCUGCAGGCGAAGCAUGUCCUCCUGUCCUUGGGCCACCUACUGCUUGCCAGGUCUCAGCGAGAGCUGGGCCCAAGCGGGAUGAAGCUGCCACUGCCUGUCCAGGUCACAUCGGCGCAGAGGCCGUGCUCCGUCCUCAGGAUGAAGUUUUUGUUAAUUACAGUGAACAGCAGCAACGAGCAGGGGCGUCGGGGGAUCUGCUGCUCCAGGGAACCCGGGUGACCCCCGACUCCUCUCCCCAGACUGGAGUGCUGCUGAGCGGCACUGGACGGGAGGUGGAGUUGUGCGAGUACCCAGGCCGUGCCUGGACGCUGGGACCCUGGCUCUGCCCUCAGCAGGCAGGAAUAAAGCACAGGGUUGUCUGGGAGGCCCGGCUAUGCCACGGCCUGGCUCUGUGAUGACACCCAGGGGAUGGGGCUGUGUUUUCUUAGAUGAUUUUAUUGACCCUCAGAGAAAACCCUGCUGAAAGCUGCUAAGCACCCCUCGUGCAUCUGUGCCAGGGAGAGGGCUGGGCCUAGCCUGGGGCAGAGCCCUGGUAAAGCCCACGAGAGGCCCUGGGCUCAAUCCCUGGCACAGUGACAAACAAAACAACAAAGACGUCCCACGGAGCUAGUUGUCCUAGCUGCGUAUGAAACUUGCUGACCUCCCUGAGGACGUCAAACAGCACGUAACGCUUGAAGCCACAGACUCUAAAAAGCAGAUCCACCAGAUUGCUCUGUUAGAAAAUGAAUGUGAUAAGUAGGCAUGGUGGUUUGUGCCUGUAAUCCCAGCACUUCAGGAGGCUGAGGCAGGCACAUCACUAGUUCAAGGCCAAUCUGGGCAACAGUGAGACCGUGUCAAAGGAGAGAGGAAGGAGGAAAGGAAAGGAGAAAGAAAGGGAACAGUGACGUGUUCUGUCCUUAGCGAGCUCGCUGCUUUCUGUGAAGACUGCAGCUGGGAGAAGAGCAGCCCUGGCUUAGGAACCCACACCCGGCUGUCUGGGUCCUGCGACAGAAUUGCUCUCUCUCGUGGCGGAGCUGAGCCGGAGCCCGGAGGCUGGCAGGAGGUGGCCUCCGAGCCUGCCGACCUCGGAUGAGGCCUCCUCCAGCCACCCAGGCGGCCCUGACUUUGGAUUUUUUGAACAAUAGAAAUGAAACUUGACAGGGGAGGGAGAACAAUGGUGUUUUGACAAAUGGAACAAAGAUAGAGUUUGGCUGAUAAUCCAGGGCUGGGAAAGAGCUCGGCCAGGGCUGAUGCUGGCGCCUCCCUGCCCAGCAGCAGGCCCGGCGGCCUCGGCACAGGGCGGCCUGGCUGGAGCGGCGGUCUGCGUCUGGCCGUCCCCACAAGGGCGCUUUCUGCAGACUGCACAGAACCAGAGCCGUGCUUGCCUGGCGCCCACGGCCACAGUGCCCUGCGGUCAGGAAGGACCUGGAGAGAUUCUGCCCGUUACCGUGGAGAUCUGGGCUGCAGGGCCAUUCCUGGGAGCCCUUUCCAGACUUGGAGUCUUCUAGGGCGGUGAGGGGGAAGCCGGCACUCAUGACUGUGGCCUGUGGGUGACCAUGUGUCUGAACGUGAGGGUGCCACAGUUAGCCAUGCCGGCCCCGACCCCAGCGGGACGUGACCCCGUGACAAAGGCACGCAGGCCUGUGUGUAAUCUUCGUGGCGAUGCUGUCGUGGAUCCCCUCGAGAGGGGGUGACUGCAGUGCCUGAUGCUGCCCACCAGCCCGGACCAGGAACCUAAAGCAUCCACACAGUGCUCUUUGGUCACAUGGGUUACUGCCUUAUUCUUUUGGGGGACCCAGCCCAGGACCCUCAGAGACUGAAAAUAAUGGAGCCAGAUCUGAUGGCACACGCCUGUAACCCACACUCUGGGAGGCUGAGGCAGGAGGACCACAAGUUUGAAUCCAGCCUGGGCCACUUAGAGACUUAGACUUUGUCUCAAAAUAAAAAAUAAAAAUAGAUUGGGAAUGUAGCCCUGGGUUCAAAUUACCAGCACCACUACCACCAGAAACCAAGAUUUUCAGCAGAUUUCCGUGUUAAGUCAGGGCAGCGCUCCCCUGUGAUGGACACCUUGUUAGCCCGUGUGUACCCGACCAGCAUUCCUUACUCACGAAUUGAACAUUUGCACAUGCGUGCCGCUCACACCCGUGGGUCAGGGCAGGUUCCGCACCCCGAUGGGCUCCCAUGCCCUGUGCCAGGUGGGGGGGCAGCCUCCCGAGGACACUGAGUCCUGGUCCUGCCCACACGGGUGUGCCACACAGGUGGGUCACUGGGGACAGUGACACCGUGAUGAGUGUGCCGGCUGACGCCCUGACACAGCAGAGCUAAGCUCCGCUCGCCUCCCGCUUCCCACUGCCACCCUUUGCUUUGCUUCCACAAUGUGGCAACACCGAAACCAGUGCCAAGCCACAUGGUUCCUCCCGAGAGGGAGGAAAGGACUUGUUCGCUCCUCGGCCGCCUGUGUCUUGGUCACACAAAGCAGCCCCUGUCCCUGCGCAGACAGAGGGGUCGUAAAAGGCAGGAAAAUAAACAACGUUCAAGCAUCUGAAUUGAUUUUUAAACAAUAAAUAGCGGGAGCAUCUGCAGAAAGGUUUGUUGUCAGCGCUCACGAUGGAAUUGAGCUGGGGCUGCCGGUGGGAGAGGAUGGUCACGGGACGGGACAGCGCUCUAGAAACGGAGGAAGAGGCUGCUCCGGCCCGGGCUUUGUCCCCAGUGAACACAAGGAGGGUGCAGCCCCUGAGGCCCCUGGGCCCCAGCCCUGCCUGCGAGGGCUGCCCAGCUCUGGGCCUGCAGGUGCCCCGGGUCACUGGCCCAAAGGGCCUCACACCUCUGUCCUGUGCUGCGACUCCAGCUGAGCCCUGAGCCCAUGUCUGCUGCCAGCCUGCCUGACAGCGCUGUCCAUUUCCACCCGCGGCAGAAUCACCUCCUCCCUGGUCUCAGCAGAAGGUGGAGGCGGUGAGAUUGUAGUGAGCCUCAGAGCGAGCGGGUGAGCGAGUGGAGCAGAGUGAAUUCAAUGCUGGAUACAAAUGUCACACACGGCUCACCGGGGCGCGGCGUGGCACGACGCCCCAUUGAAGGCCUGGCGAUCCCCAGCCAGCGCGGGCUGGCAGCAACGGAGCUGGGGAGGUGACCUUCUGGGAGGCCUCGGCCAGCUCCUCCGUGGCCACUGGACACCACCACGGGCUGCUCGAGACCCAGCCCUGCCACGGCCACGCUGCCAGCCCCGAUCCCCCUACGGCUGCUAUUUCCUGGGUCCAGAGGCUGCUUUGAACUUGUAUUUUAUGACCCUGGCUCAGGAGCAUCCACAGAUGCAGGACAGGGAUGGCAAGAGUUGGCACGGCCUCUCGGGAGGGUGCCAGGGCACAGCACUCACUUUCUGUACGGGAAAUUAACUAACCAGCACAUCCCCACUAGCAGGAGAGCUUCAGCAGAUCAGCCACACAGCUCUCAUGGAGAUCAGAGAGGCCUACAAACUGGGAAGGAAAACACCCAAAAUAUAACUGCAGGCAGAGACAAUUAGAUUGUCAAGUAAACUCUACAGCAUGACCACAUUUCUCCCAAGUGAAAUUUAGACACGGUAUCUGUAUUAUAUUGGAUAGCAUCUGUCAUGUUUUUUGAUGAUGUAUUCAAAGACAGGGAAAGGCUGGGCUGAUUCCCUCUGGUGUCCUGUAGCUUCGUUGCCCAGUGUGGCAGCCACAAACACACUGCUACCAAGCACUCAAAGCUGUAGCUGGUAUGACUGAGGGGAGGGAAAUUUGAUGAAUGAGUCCUCAGUUUUGAGGACGGAACCCAGGCCUCGCCCAGGCUGGGCAGGUGCUUCCCACUGAGCCACAACCCUGGCCCAUUUGAAAUUUUAUUCAGAGACAGGGUCUCCCUGGGUUGCCCAGGCUGGCCUUAAACUUGUGAUCCUCCAGCCUCAGCCCCCAGUAGCUGUGAGUACAGUGUACCCCACCAUGCUUGGCUCCAUGGAUUUAAUUUUAAUUACUUCUAAUCGACUUUAAAAGCUACUUGAUUCCGUUGUUAGAAACCUAUGAACCACGUUUGCAGCAACUUUGAUAUGUGAAUCUCUUUUUCCAACUGGAUCUACUUUUUCAGCCGUGUCUUAUGAAAUCUCAAUACAGAGCAUGUAUUUCCAAUGAGAAUUUAGCAUCAAAUGAAGAUGUGUUGAAAGUGUAAAACAUAAUCAAUGCCAAAGACAAUACAAAAGUAAUGAAAAAGUGAUAAUUCUAUAUCUCAGUAAUUUGAUAAUGUUGAUUACAUAUUGAAAUAAUUAUCUAUAUACAUUGGUUUAAAUAAAUAUAUGGCCAAAAUUAACUACACCUGUCUCUUUUUACUUCUUAACAUGGCUCCUACAGAAUUUUACAUCACACGCACACACGCGCGCGCACACACACACACUCCUUU